rnacentral:rRNA from 1 species
GAGUUUGAUCCUGGCUCAGAUUGAACGCUGGCGGCAGGCUUAACACAUGCAAGUCGCACGGUCGGGGGUAACUUCGGCAGUGGCGGACGGGUGAGUAACGCGUAGGAAUUUAUCCAUGGGUGGGGGACAACCGCGGGAAACUGCGGCUAAUACCGCAUGAUGACUGAGGUCUAAAGGCGCAAGUCGCCUGUGGAGAAGCCUGCGUCUGAUUAGCUUGUUGGUGGGGUAAUGGCCUACCAAGGCGAUGAUCGGUAGCUGGUCUGAGAGGAUGAUCAGCCACACUGGGACUGAGACACGGCCCAGACUCCUACGGGAGGCAGCAGUGGGGAAUAUUGGACAAUGGGCGCAAGCCUGAUCCAGCAAUGCCGCGUGAGUGAAGAAGGUCUUCGGAUUGUAAAGCUCUUUUGGCGGGGACGAUGAUGACGGUACCCGCAGAAUAAGCCCCGGCUAACUUCGUGCCAGCAGCCGCCGUAAU